UCCAGGUGACCAGCAGCCUCAUACCAUCUAGGUUCUCUUUUUCAAAGACAUUCCCAUUUCUUUUUCUCAGUAUACCCAAGAAAGUCUUGGGCUCACCAGUUCACUCAUCAAAGGAUAAAGAGAUGGUGUUUAAGAGAGUCAGAGGUUCUUAAGUGCCCAGGCACUGCUCUUUGGUAUAGGGUGACUUUAUUUCAUGUCGAGUUUCCUGGCUACAAAUUUUAGGAGCAGAAAAUGCUGUAAAAUUCCUAAAUUUCACUUUAUUCACCUGCAAAUUGGAAUUAAUUUGAGGAUCCAUCUCAUGAAGAUGGGGGAUGAAUUAUAUGACAACACUGAGCAUUAUGCCUGCUCAUAGUUAACAGUCUAUAUUAUCACUGAUAUUAUUUUAAAUUAUUAUUAUUGCCAUUAAUCUACAAUUAUUGGUAAGAGAAAGUAAACGAUGGGCAAAUAUUCCUGAAGAUGUCUUAGCUGUAGAUCAGAAUUCACAUACUAAUACAUGUAAUCUUUGAAAAUGCUGAUUUUAUUUUAUUUUGAACACGUAUAUAGCAUUUACUUAGUAACGGUCACUCUUCCAGCUAUCAGUUUAUGUGUCUCCACACAAGUUUACAAAAGAGUUGCCAUUGUUCAAGAUGGCCUUGACAAAAAAGAAAUUACCUGCAAGAAUAAGAACACAGAGGCAGGGCGCUCACAUCUUGAGUAUGUCAAAUGAACCCAAAUGUGGUGACUUCAGUGUGAAUGACACACAUAUGGAGGGCACAAGAAAAGAACAUGACAGGAAAUGUUGUGUAGCUGACAAGCUAAGGCCCUGUAGGGCCAGGCAUGCCUUUCUUAUUCUGUUUGUUUCCUGCAUGUUGGAGACAACAAGAUAUCAUUUCUCUCUGUUUUAAGAUAUUAUGAAUUCUGUGUCACAAAGUCAUGAAUUAGGUUAUCUAAUUUUAUUC